CCUACGGGUGGCAGCAGUGAGGAAUAUUGGUCAAUGGGCGCGAGCCUGAACCAGCCAAGUCGCGUGAGGGAUGACGGCCCUACGGGUUGUAAACCUCUUUUGCCGGGGAGCAACGGGCGCCACGUGUGGCGCCCCUGAUAGUACCCGGAGACAAAGCAUCGGCUAACGCCGUGCCAGCAGCCGCGGUAAUACGGAGGAUGCGAGCGUUAUCCGGAUUUAUUGGGUUUAAGGGGUGCGUAGGCGGAAUAUCAAGUCAGCGGUAAAAAUUCGGGGCUCAACCCCGUCGUGCCGUUGAAACUGAUGUUCUUGAGUGGGCGAGAAGUAUGCGGAAUGCGUGGUGUAGCGGUGAAAUGCAUAGAUAUCACGCAGAACUCCGAUUGCGAAGGCAGCAUACCGGCGCCCAACUGACGCUGAAGCACGAAAGCGUGGGUAUCGAACAGGAUUAGAUACCCGUGUAGUC
rnacentral:rRNA from 1 species